GUCGAACGAUUAAAGCCCCUUCGGGGGUGUAUAACGUGGCGCAAGGGCGAGUAACGCGUUCCUACGUACCCCGAGGUCGGGGAUAGCCCGGGGAAACCCGGAGUAAUACCCGAUGUGGUCCCGACUUUGUCGGGAUCAAAGGCUUCGGUCGCCUUGGGAGCGGGGAACGUCUUAUCAGGUUGUUGGUGAGGUAACGGCUCACCAAGCCUAAGACGGGUAGCGGGUGUGAGAGCAUGACCCGCCGCAUCGGGACUGAGACACUGCCCGGACUCCUACGGGAGGCUGCAGUAACGAAUCUUCCGCAAUGCGCGAAAGCGUGACGGAGCAAUGCCGCGUGCAGGAUGAAGCCUUUCGGGGUGUAAACUGCUGUCAGGGUUUAGCAAACAAAUGAGCAGACCCAAAGGAAGGGCCGGCUAACUUCGUGCCAGCAGCCGCGGUAAUACGAAGGGCCCGAGCGUUAAUCGGAAUCACUGGGCUUAAAGCGUACGUAGGCGGACGCGCAGGCAUCUUGUGAAAUCCCUCGGCUCAACCGAGGAACUGCUUGGUGAACCGCGUGUCUUGAGGCAAGUAGGGGCUGUCGGAACGAUAGGUGGAGUGGUG
rnacentral:rRNA from 1 species